UGACAUCCAAGCAUUAGGAAGGAUCUGCUGUGGUGCCUUAUUCCAGAUGCUGCUGCUCGUCUCUUCCUGCGCUUGGCCUGGGAUGCCCUGCAAUGCCCCAUACUGGCUAAGAAAUGUGAAAACAGCUGAAGAAGAAAUAAAGCAAAAGAGAAAAACAAGGAAAAAAGGGUAAACAAAGAGAGAAUUCACCUUUCACUCGCCUGCAAAGUCCUCGGUUGGAGAAUGAAGUUAAGACACAAAAGCUUAGCAACAACAACAUUGUGGG
rnacentral:lncRNA from 1 species